rnacentral:rRNA from 1 species
UACGUAGGGGGCAAGCGUUGUCCGGAUUUAUUGGGCGUAAAGCGCGUGUAGGCGGCCACGCAGGUCCGCUGUGAAAACUCGAGGCUCAACCUCGAGCUGUCGGUGGAAACCGCGUGGCUAGAGUCCGGAAGAGGGGACUGGAAUUCCCGGUGUAGCGGUGGAAUGCGCAGAUAUCGGGAAGAACACCCGUGGCGAAGGCGGCUCUCUGGGACGGUACCGACGCUGAGACGCGAAAGCGUGGGGAGCGAACAGG